rnacentral:rRNA from 1 species
AUGCGCGACGUGGCGACCGUUGACGGCGCCUCCUCGGCCGCCUCCGUCGUCGUCGACCACCGCGACACCGCCCCGCUCAACCGCUCCUCCCGCCGCGCUCAUCACUCCUCGUCGUCGUCGGCCGGCGGGGGUGGGCACCCGUCCUCACUCCGGGGGCUCUCCGGCUGCUACGAGUGCCGCGCCAUCAACGUCGAGCCCGUCUCAAGGAGGUACCCUCGGCCGAGGGAGCUGUGCCCGUGCUCGCAGUGCGGCGAGGUGUUCACCAAGGCCGACAGCUUGGAGCAGCACCAAGCCGUCCGCCAUGCCGUGUCGGAGCUGGGGCCGGAGGACUCGGGGCGCAACAUCGUGGAGAUCAUCUUCAAGUCGAGCUGGCAGAAGCGGGACCGCCCCAUCUGCCACAUCGACCGCAUCCUCAAGGUCCGCAACCCCGCGCGCACCGUCGCCCGCUUCGAGGCCUACCGCGACGCCGUGCGCGCACGGUGCCGUGCCGACGUCUCUGCGGGCGGUGCCACGCGCGCCGCGGCCGACGGCAACGAGCUGCUCCGGUUCCACCCGGCCGCGCUCGCCUGCGAGCUCGGCGCUGACGGCUCCACCUCGCUGUGCGCGUCCUGUGCCGAUGGUGACGUCGACGGCAAAACGGCGGCCGCGGCGUGCGGGGUGUGCGCGGCGAUCCGGCACGGCUUCGCGCCUUGGGCCGGCGCGCACCCGCUGGGCGUGCGCACCACGGCGAGCAGCGGCCGCGCGCACGACGUCUGCGGCGCCGAGGGCCCGAGCGCGGGAGCGGGGGCGGGGUGGCGGGCCAUGCUGGUGUGCCGGGUGAUCGCCGGGCAGGUGCGGCGGCGGGACGGCGACGGGGAGGAGAAGGAGGAGGAGGGCCAGGCGGUGCCUUUCGACUCGGUGGCCGGCGACGACGCGGGCGGCGCGUACGGGGUGCUGGAGGAGCUGUUCGUGGCGAACCCCAGGGCCAUCCUGCCGUGCUUCGUCGUCGUCUACCGCGUCGACGUCGACCCUCAGUGA